UUUGUAUAUUAUAUAGAAGUAGAUAUAUCAUUAUUUAUGAAAAUUAUAAUGCACAUUUUAAUGACCCCCAAACUCAUGGGCUUGUCCCUGGCUCCUUUUAUUUAUGAAACCUCUACUUGGAAAUUAAAAAAUGGGUAAGGAUUUAUCUCCAGGUAGAAAAGAAAAAAUAAAUCAUACUGUGUAGUGUGCUGCAGAUUUUAGUGCCUGUAAAUUAUCUUUGUUUUACCUUUAUUUCACGGACAAGGCUGCUGAGGCACGUGGAAGUGAGUGGGCUCCCCUAGCCCCGACCCAGUCAAGACCAAACCAGGUCCCAGCAUAUCUCUGUGCUCCAAGAGUCGUUUUGUGAGCUGGUUCCUAGAUAAUGAGGACCUGUGAGGAGUCCCGGCCCGCCGACAGCCUCAGCACAGGGUCACUGCCACGUGGGACCCAGGCCAGAGACAUCCUGCCUCCUAGGAAUGGAUUCCAGAGGCCCUGGUCACUGACCAGCACACCUGUGGGUGAGACACAAACCCCCUCCUCCCACACGGAGCCAGCACUGUCUUUGCAUUGUAUAUUUUGUAUAAAAAGAGCUCCAAUGUGGGAGCAUUUCCUUUUUUUGUCUAAAAUUGUCCAGAUUGUUAACACCAUCAUUAUCUGGACCCAGUUAAUUACAUUCAAACUUGCUUUUGUCCUAAGCGAGAGUUAUUUCUGCGACUUCUUACACACAGUUUCCUAAACACAGCGAAGAAAACACUAGCCUGGAUUUCAUCUUCAGCUCCUCAUCUUUACAAAGAAGGUACCAGCUGUUUGUGAACCCGCAGGGCAUUAAACGCGCAGGAGCCUUGGACGGGAGCAUGGAGAGAGAAAUCCACAGGUUCCACCCAGGCUUUCUGAGCAAACAAAACCAGGGAAGGCAAACACAGGCCUUUUGUUCUGACCCCAUGGUUCUAGCCAAGCGCUGCUUCGCUAAGGUUGACCUCACAGAGCUGAAGAGUGUGGCGUGAAUUGCCAAGUUGACUGGGGCCAUCCUGUGUGCCAGGGGACUUGGCCCUCCUCCCAUGGCCAGUUUGCCUCUCACCUUCACACCCUGCCUCGCGGCCCAGGGGCCUCGGCGCAGGUGGGGUGAGGGAGACAUCAGCAGGCUCCAUCUCCCAGCAACAGGGUCGCUUUGAUGGGUGCAGUUUCUGAGCCCGCUCAGCCAAGAUCAGUAAUAGCUUCCUCCUUCUCCUCCCCCACACAGACCUAGAUAUGUUUUCUUCUACAUGUAAGUUAUUGAAAAUAGUCAAAGGCUCAUCAAGACUUUGAAGAAAUUCUUUCUUAUGAACUCUUGUCCUUUUAAUUAGCAGGAAGUAAAUUCAUGUAAAACAGUUUUGCGAUCGCACAAGCAGAUAGGAGGCGAUCAGAAAAUGUGCUUAUCCUCAUCUCCCAGCUUGACUUUCGUAUUGCGGGGAAGUCCUUCAUCCUUCUAUCAACACUUUCUUUAUUCCUGCCUCAAAUCCUGGCUGCUUAUUUAAUCUGAUGAAAGUCUUCUUUGCCUGUGUCUGCUCUAACCCCAGAUAUGUGCAAUCAUAUAAAAUGGAUUCAUGUGUGGCUCUCUUGCUGCUGUGCCUAAGCCUGACAUUCUGGGUCACAUGCACUGGAGAUGCAGGACAGGCUUCUAAACCACGUGAACAGAGAGUGCGGACACACGGCUUGCCUUUAUCUCCGUCCCAGGGUUCACAAGAUCAAUCACAAUAUUGUUCCCGCUGACCCUGGGAGGAAAAGUCAUGAAACCCAACCCAUGCCCCGUCCUCCCAGGGAGUUCGGGAAGAAAAUUGCAGUCAAAGAUUGAAGGAACAAGGACUGGAAGGGGAAUUGUCCCUGGAAACCAAUCUGCAGGCGGCUUCCUUUUCUCCCGAAACAUGCCUUUUUUACUUUUGAGUCGCGGUCUCACUCUGUCAGCAGGGCUGGGACGCAGUGGCAUCCCAAAUUGCUUGGAUUACAGUUGUGAGCCACUGGCUCCCAGGUCCAAAACAUGCCUUUUAUUUUUAUUAUUAUUUAUUAUUAUAUUUAUUU
rnacentral:lncRNA from 10 species